rnacentral:rRNA from 1 species
CAGCCGCCGCGGUAAUACCGGCGGCCCGAGUGGCGGUCACUAUUAUUGGGCUUAAAGCGUCCGUAGCCGGGUUGGGAAGUCCUCCGGGAAAUCUGGCCGCUUAACGGUCAGAAUGCCGGAGGAUACUUCCAGCCUAGGGAGCGGGAGAGGCCGAGGGUAUUCCCGGGGUGGGGGUGAAAUCCUAUAAUCCCGGGAGGACCACCUGUGGCGAAGGCGCUCGGCUGGAACGCGUCCGACGGUGAGGGACGAAGGCCAGGGGAGCAAACCGGAUUAGAUACCCGGGUAGUCCUGGCUGUAAACGAUGCGGACUUUGUGUCGGACAAGCUAUGAGCUUGUCCGGUGCCGGAGGGAAACCGUUAAGUCCGCCGCCUGGGGAGUACGGCCGCAAGGCUGAAACUUAAAGGAAUUGGCGGG